CGGAUCACUACAGGACCUUUUUUCCGUGUGCAUCCUCAGAAGCGUGACGUAUCGGCAUUACAUAGGCCAUACCAGAAGAUGCAAACAACUUAUCAGCAGUAAGAACUGGAAAGUCAGAUUGGAAUUCACAAAGAAACACAGAGACGAGCCACAAAAGUUCUGGAACCAAGAUUAACUUCUACACAUUAAGUGAUGGAAAGGUGUGGAGAAAGAAAGGAUCUACUCAUGAUCCAAAACAUACAAGCUCAUCUGUGAAACAUGGGGGAGGUAGUGUCAUGGCUUGGGCUUGUAGGGCUGCUUCUGGAGCAGGCUCACUAAUCGUAAUUGUUUGAUGUAACUGUCCGUCAUGUAACUCAUGACGGUAGGAGCAGAAUGAAUUCAGAAGUUAACAGGAACAUUUUGUCUACAGGUAAAUGCAUCAAAAUUAAUUGGAUUAAUAGGACCUUUUUAAUGCAGCAAGACAAUGAUCCAAAACACACUGCCAGCUCAACAAAAAGGGGGAAAAGUGGAAGAUUUUAGACUGGCCAAGUCAAUCACCAGACCUUAACCCAACUGAGCAGCAUUUCACUUCCUGAAACAAGAACCCCCCCC